AAAGUACUCCCUCCGUCCUAAAAUUCUUGUCUUAGAUUUGUCUAGAUACGGAUGUAUCAAGUCACUACAUCCGUAUCUAGACAAAUCUAAGACAAGAAAUUUGGGACAGAGGGAGUAGUUG
rfam:Triticum aestivum genome assembly, contig: Triticum_aestivum_CS42_TGACv1_scaffold_405072_5BL